ACUUUUUUGGCUUGAGGUUGAGAUUGAAAACCAGGGAGUUUUUUGGUUUGGGCCUUUAUCUUUGGCUGGAAGUCGCAUUGAUGUUCCAUUUUGUAAUCUAGGAUACAGAAUGUGCUCGAGAUCAGACCCCUUGAUGAGAACCAAUUAUAGCACCCUUCAAAGACAGAGCGAAUUGAAUCAGUGAAAAGCUAUAUUCUUUGUCGGUAAAAAGGAAGCAAUCAUAACCGUGUACGUUUCCUCAAGAACACCAAUAUAGUGGACUUUCAAAAUUUGACACCUGACAUGAUUGCCCUCAAUCUGUUUAACUAUUGAGGAUAUUAGACAUGCAUUCCAAGUAUAUAUUGAUCAGUGUUUGCAAUACAAGAUCUAAUCAGCAACCCCAACAGAUAGUAGUACAUCAAAGAUCUUGCAGAAUUCUUUAAAUAUCUGAUCUGGCUACCUGGCCAUCGGGGGUGUAGCUAGCAGCGGUAACCAUUUCAUGUAGAUCUGUCCAGUCAACAACGUGACGAUCAGAUGGUAUAGGUGUUAAUUCUGCAAGUGGAGAGCGGUCUGACCCAAUGCAAGCCAUCGGAUGAACAGGUGUGCCACUAAGUGAACUUGUAUCAUCAGCCUUUGUCGAUGCAACUUCACAUUCCUGCACUUCCCACACAUGAAUCACCUUAUCUUCUCCUGCACUUGCUAGAAAACGAGCAUCCCAGCUGAAUUUGAUGCCUUUGCUGGUUUGUGGUCCUCAUGUGAAGAAUGCUCGUGUUCUUUGUGUAAUCCGCUCAUCGAAGUUGCUACUCCCUUUAUAUUCUUCAAAAGUGCAGCUCCCCUUCUCUUGCUAUUUCUGAAACUCUUACUGAAAGAGGAAUGAUUGUUGAUUUUCCUGCCAUCUUCAUGAGUUUUUCUUACCACAUUCUGCCGGCACAUCAACUCCUUCACCACCGGUGAAUAUCCAACAGACUUCUCAAACUCCUCCAUUUGUCCAAAUUCUUUAUUAAGAAGAAUGAACCAAAUGCACCAUCUGCCACUACGGAUUGUAACUGAUCAUGGUUCAAAUUUGAUGAUCUGUUUCUCCGUCUUUCUGGGGGUAUUCUAACAGCAGUUGAGUAUUGACAUACACCUAUAGUAGAAAAAGCUUGUAUAUCACCAUCUGACCGCGAUCGGGCAAGGACAAUUGCAGGUGUAUGUGAAUGUAAAGGUGAAGAAGGAGAAGACUCAUCUCUUUUCCGUUCUUCCUUGGGAGAAGAAUCAAAUUUUACUCUGGCAGGA